GGGAAAGGCUGCCCCUGGCUGGGAAAUGGUGCAGGGACAUAGGUGACAUGCUUCGGCAGUAGCACGGGAGGUUUGGACAAGGCAGACCAGUGCCUGUGGGAGGAUGCCAGGCCAUUACAAACAUCUACUCACUGAGCCUGCCUGGUAAUUUGAAGAUUUCGCCUUCACUGAUUGGCUGCGAGAAGGCUGCACACCUGGACUGUGAUUGCAGUGGUAAGGAAGCUGCUGUUACAGGGCUCCCAGAAGAACUGACUGUCACUUCACCCUGGGGGAGAGAGGUUAACACAUCAACUGAAAAAGAACAGCCGCAACCGUGGAAGGGGCUUAUCACACAAUCCUCCAGACAGCAGAGAAAGAACUCUGACCUUUCUCUAGAAGUGCUGGCCCUUAUCGCUUCAGCUAAAUGAGAAGGAUCUGAUUUCUAGUGACCGCUCUUGUGAUGUUCCAAGUAGCCAUAUUACACAGCUCAGUAACUACCAUAAAGCCCAA